CGAACGCUGGCGGCAGGCCUAAUACAUGCAAGUCGAACGGCUCUUCGGAGCAGUGGCGGACGGGUGAGUAACGCGUGGGAAUGUGCCCUUUGGUACGGAACAACACAGGGAAACUUGUGCUAAUACCGUAUGUGCCCUUCGGGGGAAAGAUUUAUCGCCAUUGGAGCAGCCCGCGUUGGAUUAGGUAGUUGGUGAGGUAAAGGCUCACCAAGCCUACGAUCCAUAGCUGGUCUGCGAGGAUGAUCAGCCACACUGGGACUGAGACACGGCCCCGACUCCUACGGGAGGCAGCAGUAGGGAAUUUUGCGCAAUGGGCGAAAGCCUGACGCAGCCAUGCCGCGUGAAUGAUGAAGGUCUUAGGAUUGUAAAAUUCUUUCAUCGGGGAAGAUAAUGACGGUACCCGGAGAAGAAGCCCCGGCUAACUUCGUGCCAGCCGCCGCCGUAA
rnacentral:rRNA from 1 species